rnacentral:rRNA from 1 species
GAUGAACGCUAGCUACAGGCUUAACACAUGCAAGUCGAGGGGUAACGAGAGGAAAGCUUGCUUUCCUUGUCGACGACCGGCGCACGGGUGAGUAACGCGUAUCCAACCUGCCCCCAACUAGGGAAUAACCUUGCGAAAGUAAGACUAAUACCCUAUAAUUUCCUCAAAUGACAUCUGACGAGGAAUAAAGAUUUAUCGGUUGUGGAUGGGGAUGCGUCUGAUUAGCUUGUUGGCGGGGUAACGGCCCACCAAGGCAACGAUCAGUAGGGGUUCUGAGAGGAAGGUCCCCCACAUUGGAACUGAGACACGGUCCAAACUCCUACGGGAGGCAGCAGUGAGGAAUAUUGGUCAAUGGGCGGAAGCCUGAACCAGCCAAGUAGCGUGCAAGAUGACGGCCCUAUGGGUUGUAAACUGCUUUUAUACAGGAAUAAAGUUAGCCACGUGUGGUUAUUUGUAGGUACUGUAUGAAUAAGGACCGGCUAAUUCCGUGCCAGCCGCCGCCGUAA